rnacentral:rRNA from 1 species
UAGGGAAUCUUCCACAAUGGACGCAAGUCUGAUGGAGCAACGCCGCGUGAGUGAAGAAGGCUUUCGGGUCGUAAAACUCUGUUAUUGAAGAAGAACGUGUGUGACAGUAACUGGUCAUGCAGUGACGGUAUUCAAUCAGAAAGUCACGGCUAACUACGUGCCAGCAGCCGCGGUAAUACGUAGGUGGCAAGCGUUGUCCGGAUUUAUUGGGCGUAAAGCGAGUGCAGGCGGUCUUUUAAGUCUGAUGUGAAAGCCUUCGGCUUAACCGAAGAAGGGCAUCGGAAACUGGGAGACUUGAGUGCAGAAGAGGAGAGUGGAACUCCAUGUGUAGCGGUGAAAUGCGUAGAUAUAUGGAAGAACACCAGUGGCGAAGGCGGCUCUCUGGUCUGUAACUGACGCUGAGGCUCGAAAGCGUGGGUAGCAAACAGGAUUAGAUACCCUGGUAGUCCACGCCGUAAACGAU